CCUACGGGAGGCAGCAGUGGGGAAUAUUGGACAAUGGGGGGAACCCUGAUCCAGCCAUGCCGCGUGUGUGAAGAAGGCCCUCGGGUUGUAAAGCACUUUCAGUGAGGAAGAACGCCUGGUGGUUAAUACCCAUCAGGAAAGACAUCACUCACAGAAGAAGCACCGGCUAACUCCGUGCCAGCAGCCGCGGUAAUACGGAGGGUGCGAGCGUUAAUCGGAAUUACUGGGCGUAAAGCGCGCGUAGGUGGCUUGAUAAGCCGGUUGUGAAAGCCCCGGGCUCAACCUGGGAACGGCAUCCGGAACUGUCAAGCUAGAGUGCAGGAGAGGAAGGUAGAAUUCCCGGUGUAGCGGUGAAAUGCGUAGAGAUCGGGAGGAAUACCAGUGGCGAAGGCGGCCUUCUGGACUGACACUGACACGGAGGUGCGAAAGCGUGGGUAGCAAACAGGAUUAGAUACCCUUGUAGUC
rnacentral:rRNA from 1 species